CUUCAGUCGUUUUUCCUUUCAUUACUCAAACACAAAUGAGAAGAAGGAACUCCUAGUACGGCAGCUCUGGGUGCAGCAGCAGCUCCAAGUCCACGAAGCUGUGACUGCCCACUUCUCCAGGCAUCAUCACCCCAGGUGCACACAUUUCCACCUCUUUUGGGCAAACAUCAAGGAGUCUUAUUAUUGGAUUACUGGGCAAGAGAAUGAGCUUUUCCGGUCACCUAUUACAAUGAAGAAAAAUUGACUGAGGACCUCAGAUGCUGGACUCUGAUGUUUGUCACCAAGUUUACACUGAGACCACACUUCCCGCAGGCCGCCUCCUCAGUGACUGAGGACAGAUGGGAAACCAAGCCAGCCUUGUCCCCAUGAGCUGAAGGUCUCCUCUGAGAGGCAACAUGGGUUUGGAGACACUUUCCUCUCAGUCACCCUCCAAUGCCUUGCAAAGUGGACUCAUAACACCUUUCUUGCACGUGCCAUUUUGUCUCCGUGUCUGCUUCUUGAAGGAUGGGUGUUCUGUGCACAUGUGGCCAGAGGAAAAGAAUCAGAAUUGGGGAGCAUCUGCUAAUCUUG
rnacentral:lncRNA from 1 species